rnacentral:rRNA from 1 species
UGAAGGACCGGUCCAGACUCCUACGGGAGGCAGCAGUGGGGAAUAUUGCACAAUGGGCGAAAGCCUGAAUGCAGCGACGCCGCGUGAGGGAUGACGGCCUUCGGGUUGUAAACCUCUUUCGACAGGGACGAAGCGCAAGUGACGGUACCUGUAGAAGAAGCACCGGCCAACUACGUGCCAGCAGCCGCGGUAAUACGUAGGGUGCGAGCGUUGUCCGGAAUUACUGGGCGUAAAGAGCUUGUAGGCGGCUUGUCGCGUCGAUCGUGAAAACUUGGGGCUCAACCCCAAGCUUGCGGUCGAUACGGGCAGGCUUGAGUACUUCAGGGGAGACUGGAAUUCCUGGUGUAGCGGUGAAAUGCGCAGAUAUCAGGAGGAACACCGGUGGCGAAGGCGGGUCUCUGGGAAGUAACUGACGCUGAGAAGCGAAAGCGUGGGUAGCGAACAGGAUUAGAUACCCUGGUAGUCCACGCCGUAAACGGUGGGUACUAGGUGUGGGUUUCCUUCCACGGGAUCCGUGCCGUAGCUAACGCAUUAAGUACCCCGCCUGGGGAGUACGGCCGCAAGGCUAAAACUCAAAGGAAUUGACGGGGGCCCGCACAAGCGGCGGAGCAUGUGGAUUAAUUCGAUGCAACGCGAAGAACCUUACCUGGGUUUGACAUACACCGGAAACCUGCAGAGAUGUAGGCCCCCUUGUGGUCGGUGUACAGGUGGUGCAUGGCUGUCGUCAGCUCGUGUCGUGAGAUGUUGGGUUAAGUCCCGCAACGAGCGCAACCCUUAUCUUAUGUUGCCAGCGCGUAAUGGCGGGGGACUCGUGAGAGACUGCCGGGGGUCAACUCGGAAGGAAGGUGGGGGACGACGUCAAGUCAUCAUGCCCCCUUAUGUCCAGGGGCUUCACACAUGCUACAAUGGCCGGGUACAAAAGGGCUGCCAAUACCCUUGAGGUGGGAGCGAAAUCCCUUUAAAGCCCGGUCUCCAAUUUCGGAAACGGGGGUCUGCAGAUU